rnacentral:rRNA from 1 species
CGUUAAAGCUUAACUACUGUACAUCACAAAUUCCAAAAAUAAUUUAGAACCCUACCUCAAUACUGAGUAAUUCUAUAUACAUAUAGAAAUUAUAAUGUUAAAACUAGUAACAAGAAAUUCAACUUUCUCUAAAAUGUAAAUGUAAGUCAGAAUGAACCCCACACUGACAAUUAACGGCCUAAAUCUACAGUACUAACCUCACCCAAGAAAACCCUACUUCUUACCCCGUUAACCUAACACAAGAACACUCAAAGAAAGACUAAAAGAAUAAAGAAGGAACUCGGCAAAAACUGAUUCCGCCUGUUUACCAAAAACAUCGCCUCUUGACAAACAUAUAAGAGGUCUCGCCUGCCCGGUGACAUAUUCAACGGCCGCGGUAUCCUGACCGCGCAAAGGUAGCGUAAUCACCUGUUUUUUAAUUAAAGACCAGUAUGAAAGGCGUCACGAGAAUCACACUGUCUCCUUUAUCCAGUCAGUGAAACUAAUCUUCCCGUGAAAAAGCGGGAAUUAUAACACAAGACGAGAAGACCCUUUGGAGCUUAAGACACUAUUAGCACAUUGCCCACCUAUCUUAACCUUAAACCACACAGCAUUGCUGCUUACAAGUCUUAGGUUGGGGCAACCACGGAGUAAAAAUAAACCUCCACGCUGAAUGGAAUUUUCCUAAACAAAAAGCCACAACUUUAUGUAUCAAAACUGACACUAUUAGACCCAAUAUUUUGAUUAACGAACCAAGUUACCCUAGGGAUAACAGCGCAAUCCACUUCAAGAGUCCUUAUCGACAAGUGGGCUUACGACCUCG